GCCUUCGUGGUGUAAUGAAUGGUCAGCACACUGAGCCGGUAUUUCAGAGGUCCGUGGUUCGAUCCCCGGCGAAGGCA
rnacentral:tRNA from 1 species